CGCAGCCAGCUGCGAGAUUUGGUGUGAAUUGCAGGACACAUUGAGCACUGAUUUUUCGAACGCACAUUGCGGCCUCGGGUCUCUCCCGGGGCCUCGCCUGUCUGAGGGUCGGAUAAGACUUGCAUAGGAAAUGGGUUUUUUUUCCCACUUUCCAAUUGACCGCACCGGAGACUCUUAGUAGUUUCCGCCGGUUCAAGGGCAAUCAGGAUCCUCCCCGGUCGAAGGAGCGUCGCCUUGAUGCAUGCUCGUCGGUUGGAGAAGCCGAACAUAUAAUAUAAUAGAGUUUCUCCUCGAGGACGAGAUAUAGGCUUGAUGCUUAAGAAACCAUUAAAUGGGGUGAGUACUGCUUUUCUUUGUCAGAAAUGACGAAAAAAGACCUAUUUUAAAAUAAACUUGUCGACCUCAGAUCAGACGAAAUGACCCGCUGAAUUUAADYWWAUC
rnacentral:rRNA from 1 species